GACGAACGCUGGCGGCGCGCCUAACACAUGCAAGUCGAACGAGCGAGAGAGAGCUUGCUUUCUCAAGCGAGUGGCGAACGGGUGAGUAACGCGUGAGGAACCUGCCUCAAAGAGGGGGACAACAGUUGGAAACGACUGCUAAUACCGCAUAAGCCCACGGGUCGGCAUCGACCAGAGGGAAAAGGAGCAAUCCGCUUUGAGAUGGCCUCGCGUCCGAUUAGCUAGUUGGUGAGGUAAUGGCCCACCAAGGCGACGAUCGGUAGCCGGACUGAGAGGUUGAACGGCCACAUUGGGACUGAGACACGGCCCAGACUCCUACGGGAGGCAGCAGUGGGGAAUAUUGCACAAUGGGGGAAACCCUGAUGCAGCGACGCCGCGUGGAGGAAGAAGGU
rnacentral:rRNA from 1 species